UUUAAUUCGAUGCAACGCGAAGAACCUUUACCUGGGCUUGACAUCCGAGAAUCUUCUGGAAACAGGAGAGUGCCCUUGGGGAACUCGGUGACAGGUUGCUGCAUGGCUGUCGUCAGCUCGUGUCGUGAGAUGUUGGUUAAGUCCCGCAACGAGCGCAACCCUUAUCCCCAGUUUGCCAUCAGGUAAAGCUGGGAACUCUGGGGAGACUGCCGGUGAUUAAACCGGAGGAAGCGGGAUGACGUCAAGUCCUCAUGGCCCUUACAUCCCGGGCUACACACGUGCUACAAUGGCAGGUACAGAGGGCUGCAAAGCCGCGAGGUAGAGCGAAUCCCAGAAAACCUGUCUCAGUCCGGAUUGAAGUCUGCAACUCGACUUCAUGAAGGCGGAAUCGCUAGUAAUCGCAGAUCAGCACGCUGCGGUGAAUACGUUCCCGGGCCUU
rnacentral:rRNA from 1 species